rnacentral:rRNA from 1 species
AAACGUAGGGCGCAAGCGUUGUCCGGAAUCACUGGGCGUAAAGGGCGCGCAGGCGGUUUGGUAAGUCAGAUGUGAAAGCCCACGGCUCAACCGUGGAAGUGCAUUUGAAACUGUCAGACUUGAGUACUAGAGGGGAAAGUGGAAUUCCCGGUGUAGAGGUGAAAUUCGUAGAUAUCGGGAGGAAUACCGGUGGCGAAGGCGACUUUCUGGCUAGAUACUGACGCUGAGGCGCGAAAGCGUGGGGAGCAAACAGGAUUAGAAACCCUAGUAGUCC